rnacentral:misc_RNA from 1 species
AUGCGAUAUGUAGUGUGAAUUGCAGAGGUAUGUGAAUCAUCGAAUCUUUGAACGCAAAUUGCACUCUUUGGUAUUCCGAGGAGUAUGCCUGUUUGAGGGUCGCUUAACAAACAUCGAUUUUAUUGCUUUUUUAAAGUAAUUUUAUCGGAUUUGAGCCGUCUUUUUUAUAUAUAUAUUUAUUUAAAAGUGGCUUAAAAUUGAUUUUUUUCGGUAUGAUCGAAGCGUAUUUUAUGAUCAAUUUUUGGUUAAAGAAACGCAUACAUACCAUCAUCAUUCAUAUGAUGUAAUACGUUUGACUAUUGGAUUUAGUUCAUUCGUAUACGAUAUUUUUCAAAUUUUGACCUCAAAUCAGGUAAGAACACCCGCUGAACUUAA